ACUAUUAGCUGGGAUGCGGGACUAGCCCAGCCUUUUCUUCCGCGCGUUUGUGGAGGUUGGUUGUUAUCUGUCCCUGCGCGCCCAACGCGGAUUUCUGAGGCCGGGACUGCGACCGAGGACGCCAACGGAGACCCGUGCGCAGAGCGGGCACAGGGAAACUACAUCAAAUUUACCAGAUUUCAUAUGGUCAGAAAUCUGUUUAAAGCAAAGCAAAGGACAAGUGACAAUUUUGAGAGGAGCUUGGAGAAUAUAUAUCAAGAUGGAUUCUCGCAAUUGUACAACAGUUUCUGAUUCAGCUUUGGAAAUUGAGAAUCAAAGUGACAGCUCUUCCUCUGGAAGCAGCUUAUUUAAAACUCAGUGUGUUCCUAAUCCUCCUAAUCCACCUAAUCCACCUAAACAGAGGCAAAGAAACCCUAUUAGAAAAUAUAUUUACUCACCUGAAAGUAUUGAUACAGAAGAUUCAUCUAGUGACUCAUCUAUAGAACCAAGACCAUUGACUUUAAAAGCUAUUUUUGAAAGAUUCAAAAGAAAGAAACGUAAGAAGAAGAAGAAGACGAAGAAGAAAUACAAGCCAACUGGAAGAUCAAGGGGAAGACCAAAAGGAAGGAAAAACACUAGAGUCUCACAAAUAAAUAAAAUAAAAUUUAAAGACAAAGGGCCUGGUUUCCCAUUUUUAGAAGCAGAAAAUGGAAGAAAACCAUUACCUUGGAGAAAAGUUUUAACCUUUGAGCAAGCAGUGGCAAGAGGAUUUUUUAACUACCUUGAAAAAUUGAAGUAUGAAUACCACCUCAAAGAAUCCUUGAAACAAAUGAAUGUUGGUGAAGAUUUAGAAAGAGAAGACCUUGAUAGUCGUAGGUACAAAUACUUGGAUGAUGAUGGAUCUAUCUCUCCUAUUGAAGAGUUAACAGCCGAGGAGGAAAAUGCAACAAAUCUUGAACAUGAUGAAUGUGAUAUUAAAUUAGUGGAGAAUAAUUAUUUCAUAAUAAGUUCUGAAUUACCAAAGAAGAAGAAUGUGUAUUUGAAACAAGAGGAAUAUACCGAAGAAGCUGCUUUGCCUAAAAAGAAAGCAUCAAAAUCCAGAAAACAAAACAGUGGACAGAGGACAGAAUGCCUUGAAAAGGAAAUAGGAAUGUGAAUUCCUGACAAGGCUUUUAUCUUGAACACAAGUGUCUGGACUAUGGGUAUGUCUUGUGCUUCAGGUGAGUGGGUCAGAUUUGUCUAAAUGUGGUACACUGUCAGAUAAUUUAAAAUGUCCACAGGUUUCAUUAAUGAAAAGUGUUUUCUGCUUAUGAUGUCUCAAGAUGCUUUAUGGUGAUGCUGUGCCAGCUUCACACCGCCUGCAGGAAAGGGUCCCAGAACAUAAAUUAGACUGUUAGAAUCUUGGAUAUUCCCACUUGAAGCAUAUACAGCAUUUUUUAACCUCCCAUUACCCUGUACUAUAUAGUGUGUAUGUGUGCUUGUGGUUAUGCUCAUGGCAUGUGGAAAUUCUAAGGCCAGGAAUCGAACCUGGGCCACAGCAGUGCCAACUGCUUAGCCAUUAGGCCACUGGGGAGCUCUGCAGUAUUGUUUUUAGUGAGUGCAUAAUCUAAAAUGAGGUAUAAUGCUAGAAAUGACUACACAGGAGAUAAGAUUUCCUAAAUCAACAAUUCCUUAAUGGUCAGCCAUGUUAAUUAUCUUCUGUAUUUUUAUAGCCUAUAUCAUAUCAAAAAACUAAUAAAAUGUCUCAUGUAUUCUUAAAAUUAAGGCAAAAUUACAUUAAAAUAAGUGCAUAGGCAAAACACAUUGCAGUAUUCAUAAAAAUCAAGAUUUGGAAGUUCCGUUGUGGCUCAGCAUUAGCGAACCCAGCUAGUAUCUAUGAGAAUGUGGUUUUGAUCCCUGGCCCAACUCAUUGGGUUAAGGAUCCAGUGUUACUGUGAGCUUUGGUCUAGGUUGCAGAGAAUGUUCAAAUAUGGUGUUGCAUUCCAUCAUUGCUAAGCGUUGUUAAAAAUCUCUUACCUUGUAAAUAGUUCAUGGCAUGGUUUCUUUAAAUUUCUUGAACAUCUUCCAGAAUGUUCUACAAUAUUGAACUCAUACAAGAGACUGAAGCAGAUCACAGCUCUUUUCAAAUGAUCUCUUUCCUGUGGACUUAUAAGCAGUGGUUGAGGUCUAUCCCGAUGGGGCUUUUUCUAUAAACCUACAUCGUUGGAAACGCCUCAUAGAGCAACUCUGUGGUUUCCUUUACUCAUAGAACUACAUGUUAGAUCUGUGGGGAAGAACUACAAGACAGCUGCUAAAUAAACUAUGAAAAACCUAACAGGGAAACCUUUUUUAUCUUAGGAAUUGGCAUGUCCCAAGGAUCUGUACUGUUGUAGGGUGUGAUAGUUUAGGAGUGAAUGUGAUUUGAACUUAAUGCAUGUUUAGAAGGUGUCUAAAAUUCACAACCAGGCAGAUACAUCUCUUCUGACCCUAAACAUGACCCUACCUAAAGUGAGCUGGUUGAGUAAAUUGGAUCCCAAAAGUUAUAGGUGGGGGAGUGAGUCCAUUAUUUCAUUGAUACUUGUGAAGCUGAACUAAACAACUGUGGCAAGACUGAUAUGAUGAAUGGUUCAUGUAUGCACCGAGCAAAAAUUCUUUUUAAAGGGGCUCCCUUGAAGAUAAUGACUGAAACAUUGAAAGGACCCCAAACAUUGGAGAAAGCAGUGGAAAGAGAAUCCUUAAAAGUUUAUUGACUUAAAUAAUUUUGUCUGUGCUACACAUAAAAAAAAACCUUUACACUUUG